CAGUGUCGGAAUAGAAUUUGCGAGGAAGGCUGGCUGACUUUUUCCUUCCAUCUUUCCCCCACAGGGAUCGGGAAACUUGGCCCGGUUCCCUCGACGUACUGUUACCGAUUUCUUCCCCAUCGGUGGAUCUAGCGCGGCCCUUCGCAAGCCUUAAAAGGAGCAGCGGGCGGCCGCUUUUCGCUGCAACCUGCAGUGAGUGACGCCUAAAGGGACUACGCGACCCAGGAUGCAGCGCGCGGCUCCCGGCUGCGCCGCGGCGGUGUUCCCGCCAGGCAGCCGCCUCGCCCUCUCUCCGUCUUGGCGUUGCUCUUCGGUUCGGUCUCUCCUCCCUAGGGCUUCCGUCUCGCCAGGCAGCGGGGGCCUGACCCCGGAGACAGAUUGUAUCCGGGCCAACUAAUUUCAUCCACAACCGGGAGGACUCCGAGGGACGGGGUUGACCUCAUCUGUCACUUGAACAGAGACCCUUGAUUCAGGGCCUGCAUCAGCUGAGAGGCUAAGAGCCAUCAUUGCAGAAGGCACGCAAAGACAGACGGUAUUCAGCGCCUUCAUCCCACAGUAAGGGACAGUGGUGUCAGCGCUUUUGGUUAGGCCACUGGUGUGUCUUCAAUGAGGGAAAGGGGAAUUUCUUUCAGAGCCACCUCUUGGCGGCCUUUUGGUUUCAGUCUUCCUUCUCCUUCCACUUCCAGGUAUACUAGGAAGUCACCAUGAGCUAAUUUACGAAUAGUCCGAACUCGAAUGAGUGAUCUAGGCCCGGCUGGACUCUGAAGAUAAGAGGCAUUUCCUCCCUCUGGCCUGAGUUUCUGGGUGUCCCUGUGUGAGUAUGGGCCUAGCAGAGGUGUCGGGUCAGUUCCCAACACAUGUAGGGGUCUCAUAGUUAUUUCCAAUCACUGUCAUAUAACUUUUGGCUUGUCCGGGGAUGUGCGAUGUAAGGCUCGGUCACUCAGCACUCCGAACUCUCCCAGCUGUUGUAGACGACGGGGAGAGAGACUGAGACAUGUAAGAGAGGCAGGGACGACCGAGGGGUGACACCCUUGGGCCCUCCUCACAAGGAGCACACUUCAACCCACUAUACUUACCUCCUUUUCCAGCAAUUAGCCAGAAGAAGCUUAUAGAACUGGGUAGGUGGAACGAGAGCAAGGGAAGACAAAACUGAAAAGUAAGAAUACCCCAGCUGCCAAAACGGGCUCGGUACUUUCUAAGGAGCAGAAGAGAUGUUUUCAACUGCUUCAGCAGCAUUGUAAGACUGUAGGAUGUCAGGUUGAAAAACAGAACUUAAUUCACUUAUUAUAGACAAUAAAGAGCUAGUGUCCAUGGUUCCCAGAUACAGGCUCUUUAGAUCUAGAAGUAUGGGAAGAAGUAGGGCAGAAACUGAAAUGGCAUUAGGAGAACAGGACCCUUAUAGGACAUCAGGAUUUAUUAACCUGGAGCCUAGUGAGAACUGCUCUCACCCCUGUUUAUACCAGAAACCCUCAUAAUCAGGAAAGCUCAGUCACAAAAGAAGGGACCUGUAGGACAUCAGCGGGUGUGGUGUCCUACGCCGCCUGUGCCGCCAAAGGAGGAGGAUGGCUUCCUUUCCAGCUGUCCUGCAGCCCCACUAUGGGACAGCUUGCUGGAGGAUCUACCUCCUCCCCGUCCUCUAUUAGACCCACCUCCGGCCCUUACCCAGAAUACUACCUUCAUGCAGCAAUGUUUCCAAGGGGCUGUGAAAGCCAGAGACUUGGAAUUUCUGUUAGCUUUCUUUGAUGUCACUGAACAGUAUGGGCAACCAGUAUAUGAACCUUUGCCUUUUAAAAUAUACAAAGACUUAAAAGAGAGUAUUAAGGACAAUGGGCUUCAGUUGCCCUACACCAUGAAACUCAUGUCAGCCAUUGCUGCAGCGUAUCGGAUGGCCCCUUGUGAUUGGAUUGCCUUAACUAGGACUGUCCUUGAGCCUGACCGGUUUGCUGCGUGGCAUUCAGAAUAUACUUUUCGCUGCCACCUCCAAGCAGCUGAGAAUAACGAAAUUGGAAACCCAGUCCAGCUUAACAUGCUUCUUGGAACUGACCGAUAUGAAUCUGCUGAAGAGCAGGCGAAAAUGAACCCUCAAGCUUUCUCCCAGUGCUCCCAGGCUGCUCUCCUUGCCCUGAAGAUGGUUCCGGAAACUGGAGCCCCACCUGCAGGCUCCAUCAUUAAUAUUCAGCAAGGAGCCACACGGGCUUAUAUAGAUUUUGCUGACAGAUUAAUGGGAGCAAUAGAAAGGUUGAGAAUGAGGUAGUAGCCAAGACCCUUUUAUUACUAUUGGCCUAUGAAAAUGCAAAUAGUGAUUGCAAGGCUAUGCUCAAGACUCUCAGACUAACCGCCACUGAUAUUAGUCAGUUUAUCAAGGCUUGCCAAAAUGUUGGCACAGAACACCAUCGAGCCACAUUGCUAGCAGCAGAAAUAAAGAGGCAAGUUAAAUGCUUUAAUUGUGGCAGACCUGGACACACCCGUCGGGAGUGCAGAAAUGAACAGAAUAACCCGAAACACGUGCCUAGUAAUAACUGCCCACGAGGUGGCAAGGGCAAACAUUGGGCCAAUCAAUGCAGAUCCAAAUAUGAUAAAGAUGGCAAACUACUUCCACCUCAAUUUGGAAAGGGGAAGGGGCACACAGACUCUGGUGCCCCAGGCUCCCACAGGAGUGUUCCAGGCAAUUGUUUUGAACCCAUGGAACAUGCCGAGUCACUGAUCUCCAUGCUACCACAGGGGAAGAGCAGAAUUGGACUUGGUUACUACCUAGGAACUCAUCUAAGAGAACAGGAUAAAUCCUCAUAGCUCCUACAGGGUAUUGCCUGAGGGCACUGUUGGGUGGAUUUCAGGAAGAUCUAGCAUUUCUGCUAAAGGGAUUUUAGUCCAGCUCAGGGUAGUUGAUUCUGAUGAUUGGGGAGAAAUCAAAAUGAUGAUCAGAGCCUUUGGAUAUUAUGUCAUUCCUGCCCAAACUCGCAUAGCCCAGCUUCUUCCCUAUACAGGGCCAGGUACUCAAAAUAUUAAGAGAGGGGAAGGAGGUUUUGGUAGCACUAAUAACCAGUCUGUUUUUCGGACUGCCUCUGUUAAAUAGAGCUCUUUUAGAAGUAACAAUCAAAGACAAAACCUUCCAUGGCCUGCUAAAUAUGGGAGUAGAUGUCUCUGUAGUUUCUAGCUAAUAUUGGCCUCCAGAUGGGCCCCUGGCAGAGGCUGACAUAUCCAUAACUGGCGUAUGAGGCGUUUCUGAACCAGGUAGAACGACUGAUCACUCAGAUGCUAUGGCCUGAUGGACAGGUAGGGAGAAUUCAGCCCUGUGUUCUUCCAGCCCCACUUAAUGUUUGGAGAUGAGACCUUCUUGCUCAGUGUGGAAUGAAAAUCACCCUUGUGUUUUUCCUAGUGGCCACUGUUCAGAUACCUCCACUACCCCCUCACAUGGCUUUCAGAUACGCCUAUGUGAGUCAAUCAGUGGCCACUAAAAGGGGAGAGGCUAGGAAAAAAACCCAUGAAUUAGAACAACAGUUAGGAACAGGACAUACUGAGCCAUCUAGCAGUCCGUGGAAUACUCUGAUUUUUGUAGUUCCUAAAAAAUCAGGAAAAUGGAAGCUUAUACAUGAUCUUAGGAAAAUUAAUGAGGUAUUUCAUGAUAUGGGAAGCUUUGAAGAACCUUUGUUUACCCAAACCCCAAGCACCCUAGGAAGAGCGAUAGGGCCGUUUGGGAAAGCAAACAGCAGGAUAUUAACAAGGACUGGGACUAGCACCCCCGCAGUUAGAACUAAUUUCCGCAUUCCGCUUCUGUAUCUCGCUUUGCUACAUAGACAGGAAGACCCUGUAGGCUAUAUAAACCCCAAGAAUCCUUUGUUCGGGGCUCAGAAUUUGGAGACUGACUCCUAUGAGCUUGUGCACGUUAAUAAACCUCGUACUCCAGAA